AUUUUUAUAGUUUAUAUAAAAUACAACAUUGAAAAUGUUGAGAUGAUUUAAUAAUUUAAAAAUA
rnacentral:tRNA from 1 species